CCGGUUGGGAGGGGUGGGGCCGAGCGCUGUGAAGUGAGGAGGGCGAGGCCCCGGUUUGUUUAACUGACCAGCGUAGCCUCUGUUUUGUCUUUGGUGGACAACGUCCUUUGCUGGGAAGCUAGUCUACACACCACUCCACUGAAGCACCUCUAUGAAGGGAACAUGUGAAGAGGAACAAAAGCCUCCAUCGACAACCACACCAACUUACCAGCCAUGACAUUAUUCCUACAGAGGAAAAUUGGACUAAGAAGAGGUAGACUUGAUUUAAUGAUAGAUUGAUCAUGAUGAGGAAACUGAGAACCAUAAAGUCACUCCAGCCUUCUGACUUCAGACCGUAGUUUAAUGAACUGUGCAGAGGGACUAGUAGCAGCAAUGGAGGAAGAUGAUCUGAAAAGCAAAAAGCAGCUCACUAGACUUUAAUCACCAAAAAUGAUUACUUCAAAUGAAGGAUUCAUACUAUCCCUUCUUCUAUACUUUAUGCAUAAUGUCUAUGAAUCACAACAUCAGUUAAAUUUCCACUUUUAUAAAGUAUUUUCUUUUAUUCUUCACUCAUUCUUUUCUUUCUUUCUUUCUUCUUCUUCUUCUUCUUCUUCUUCUUCUUCUUCAACAUCAUCACAUGUAACACAAGUUACAGUGUUAACUGUAAAUUGUGCAUUGCACUAUACUAUUUCUUAAUAAAAUAAUCAACCAAUCAAAAAGUCCUUACCUUCUAUUUCCUAGUAUGCUGAGGAUUUUAACAAAUGUCCACUUCCCUUCAGUAAAGCAAAACAAUCCCUGCCUACACAAAUUUUGACAAGAUGCUGCACAAUACAAAAUAACGCAAAAUAAAAAUGCGUAAAACAGAGACAGAG